UUCUUUUUAAAAUUUUAUUUCAAUAGUUUAAAAAAGUCAAUGAAACAAACAUAUCUAUACACAAAGAACAAGAUUGUACGUAAAUGAAGUUACAAAUCUCUGCUAUGUUUAACUUACUUUUCUUCACAUCUAAAUAAUAAGUUCUGAACACAAGUAUCCCUGCUCUUCCCUACCCUAUCUGUAUCACAGAAAGUAUUAUAUGGGAAAUCAGUAUGUUCAUACAAAGAAAUUCUUUAAUGUUUUCACAUUUCACUUUACACACUGGAGGUAACAUUCACAAUUUAUUCCUCUAGUAUUAAUUCUGUCAUUGUGUAUAGUGUUCUCUUGGUUCUAAUCACUUCACUGAUCAUUAGCCUGUGUAGUUCUUUCCCAGUUCCUUAGAAAUUUGCCAGUUCAUCACUACUUGCAGCAUAGAAGUGUUCAAUCAUACUCAUUUACCACAAUUGGUAUAGCCAAUUCCCAAUUAAUGGGCAUCGCUUCAGUUGCCAAUUCUUUGACACCACAAAGUGAACUACUAUAAAUCUCUUAGAAUAUAUGAAUUCUUUUCCAUUUCCUCUGAUCUUCUUGGAAAACAGACAGAGAUAUGGGAUUCCUAAGUCUAUACAAUUUUAUAACUCUGUAUGUGUUGGUCAGGAAUAAUUUCACAAUGGAUGAAUUGGCUGAUUUCAAGCUCCACCAACAGUGUAUUUGUGUUCUUUUUUUCCACAUCCCCUCCAAUAAUUGCCCUUUGGUCAGUUUAGCCAAUCUGAUGGAUAUGAAAUAAUAUCUCAGAAGUUGGCAUUUCUCUAAUCACUAGUGACUUGGAGCACUUUUUUCAUAUAACUAUAUAUGGCUUUGAUUUCUCCAUCCAAAACUUGUCUAUUUAUCACUUUGGGCCAUUUACCAAUUUGGGGAUGGCUGUGUUUCUUAUAAACACACAGCAAAGAUGUCUAUAUGUUUGACAUUUGAGUGUAUAAAAAUGUCUACCCAAUUUUCUGAUUUCCUUCUAAUCUUGACAGAAUUUAUUUUAUUUCUACAAAAUCUUUUCAAAUUAAUGUACUCAAAAUUACCCAUCUCAUAUUUCACAAUGCUCUCUGCUCAAUCCACCAACUCCCACUAUGAAUUGUGCUACAGGGAAAUAAUGUCCAGAGGCUCCCCAAACAAUCAUUUCUUUUCUUUAAGGACCACCCUAUCCCCAGAACUACUGAAGCUUCUUCAAGAGAGUCUGUGGACACUAACUUUCUCCCACAUCAUUCCACAUCAGUCGAGUCUAAAGAUUUAAACAGAAGACUGGCUUCUGGAAGAAAAAAAUUUGACACCUCUUUGCCUGAUGGUACCGUUGCCCCAUCAGAUGACUCCUCGGUGUCCACAAUAACUGCCAACAAUACUUCAGGUCAGUAAAAGCCUCCUUUUUGCUUUCUCUGUUUGACAGAAAUUCUUCCCUCCCAGGUCAUCCUUCCUCUUUUAAGGGCUUUCCAUUUGACCAUUAUUUGUACUGCUUUUCCUUCAUCUUAUAUUACUUACAUGGUUGAUACAGUUGAAUAUCUGAAGUUAGUAGGAGGAAAAAUUUGUGGUCGGAAGUCUCUUUAUUUUUCAAAAUGUUAGAAUGAAAUAGAUAGAAGAAGAAUGUUGUUAAAAGUUUUAACCACAGGGACCAGAGUACACUGGAAAAAGAUUACAGUUUGUUUUUCUCAGAAGCCUUCUUCAGUAUAUGCUCUGUAU
rnacentral:lncRNA from 1 species